rnacentral:lncRNA from 13 species
CUUCAUGUGACCCCACUCUCUUCAUUCCAUUCUGCUCUGAGUGUCCCAUGAUCAGUCAUACCUAAGGACUUGCAUUAUUCUUUCAGUGUUUUUUCAUAGCCCUCAUUCCUUUAACAAAUAACUUCCUUUUCAUACAAAACCCCUUUCUGCAUUAUCUGGCUAACAAACUUCUCUUCCCUGAAAAUUCAGCUCUUCUUUGUUUGGAAAAAAGAAGAAGGAAGAGGAGAAAAAGAAGGAGGAGGAAGAGGAGAGAAAAAGGAGGGGGAGAGGGAAGAAAAUAAAGACAAAAAGGAGGUGAGAAGGAGAGGAAAGAUGAGAAGGAGAAAGAAAAGAGAAGAAGAAAAUGAAAAAGGAAAUACUGGUAUGGUAGAUCUUAACAUGACUUGCUCUCAAUAGGUCCAAAUGGGUGAUUUUUAUCCUUUUGCUUUUCAGAGAUCUAGCUUUUUGUUUCCUUGUUUGUUUGAAGAAGAACAUAUUUACUAAAUUAUUAUUAACUCAUGAAGAGGAUUGUAAGUAAUUAGCACGUUAAUAGUGUGAAAUAAGUAAAGUUCUAAGUGCUAAAAGUCAUUGGUCUGCUAUGCAGAUGAAAUGACCCUGCAAUAUCCUUGCCUAUAUACUUGUAUAAUUGGCUCAGAAAUUCUUCUUUUUAUUCUUUUUCACAUUUCAACUUUUACCUUAAGCUUUAGCUUAGAUCUAACUGGAAUUCUGUGAAGUCACUUGGAGUUGGUCUCUGCAUUCUUGCUGAGGCUGUGUAGUACACCAGGGUUAAGAGUAAUAGGCAUAGAGGCUGGGCAUAGUGGCUCACACCUGUAAUCCCAGCAUUUUGGGAGGCCGAGGGAGGAAGGUUGCUUGAGCCGAGGAAUUCAAGACCAGCCUGGGCAACAUGAAGAGACCCUGCCUCUACAAAAGAAUAAUAAAAAUUAGCUGGGCAUGGUGGUGCA